rnacentral:ncRNA from 1 species
UUCUUCGGGGACGGUUGAAUUCCGUACCGGCGGUAAAGCCCGCGAGCCCAUUGGGGUUGAUUCGGUGAAAUUCCGAAGCCGACAGUGACAGUCUGGAUGAAAGAAGAA